UACAGAGGGUGCAAGCGUUAAUCGGAAUUACUGGGCGUAAAGCGUGCGUAGACGGUUUUGUAAGUCGGGUGUGAAAGCCCCGGGCUCAACCUGGGAAUGCCAUUCGAGACUGCAUAGCUAGGGUGCGGAAGAGGGAAGCGGAAUUUCCGGUGUAGCGGUGAAAUGCGUAGAUAUCGGAAGGAACACCAGUGGCGAAAGCGGCUUCCUGGUCCAGCACCGACGUUCAGGCACGAAAGCGUGGGGAGCAAACAGG
rnacentral:rRNA from 1 species